GACAGAGGUGCCAAGCGUUAGGCGGAAUCACUGGGCUUAAAGCGUGUGUAGGCGGACUUCUAAGUGCCUUGUGAAAUCCCACGGCUCACCCGUGGAACUGCUGGGCAUACUGGGAGUCUUGAGCCACCUAGGGGCGAGCGGAACAAAUGGUGGAGCGGUGAAAUGCGUAGAUAUCAUUUGGAACGCCAACGGAGAAAUCAGCUCGCUGGGGGUGUGCUGACGCUGAGACACGAAAGCCAGGGGAGCGAACGGG
rnacentral:rRNA from 1 species